rnacentral:lncRNA from 1 species
GUUUGGGGUUUCUGAAGAGCACCUAGCGCCGCCACCUCGCUUCUGCCAGAGAUCCGGGCCAGAUUGACGGAAGACACGGUUUCCUGGAGUCUAUAUCCUGGGAAAAUAUGGACAGAAAAAACUUAGAGAAAUACAAGAAAGAGAAGCUGCAGAGUACAUUGCCCAAGCUCGGCGACAGUACCAUUUUGAAAGUAACCAGAGGACUUGCAAUAUGACAGUGCUGUCCAUGCUGCCAACACUGAGAGAGGCCUUAAUGCAGCAGCUCAACUCGGAGAGUCUGACAGCUUUGUUGAAAAACAGGCCUUCAAACAAGCUGGAAAUAUGGGAGGAUCUAAAGAUAAUAAGUUUCACAAGAAGUAUUGUAGCUGUGUACAGCACAUGUAUGCUGGUGGUUCUUUUGCGAGUCCAGCUGAACAUAAUUGGUGGAUAUAUUUACCUGGAUAAUGCAACAGUUGGCAAAAAUGGCACUAGCAUCCUAGCUCCCCCAGAUGUACAGCAACAGUA